GAGCCUGGCACGACCUCAGGAGAAAACAGGUGUGGCACGGAGAGAGGUGAUAGUAAGACGCGUGGCUCAGUUAGGAUUGGGCUUGGUUGCAAGUAACUGGAAAUCGAACAAACAAGGACCAAAGGAAGGGUGAAUGUCUCUCAAAUAACAAGAAUCUCGCUGCCCUAGGGAUCAGGAUGCUUGAAUUUUUCUGUUCUGCCAUUUCUAGCAUAUGAUUCCCAUCCUCAUGUCACAUGACAGCUGCUAAAUCUCUGGCACUGCAGACAAGAAAAAAGAAGGGUGCAAAGGGAAGAGUGAAAUCCCUACCCUUCAAGGUUCACCUUUUUCAUGGAAGUCACGGGGGAAGGAGUUUAUAACGGGUGGAGAGAGUCGACCCAUUUGCACAACUGGAGAGGAGAUGAAUAGGAACCCCUCACGACUUCCAAGACCCAAGGAAAGAGAAACACAGUGAAACGCUGUGCCUUCAGGUGGCCCAGGAAAAAAGGGAGAGUUCAAGCCGAAGGAGUAGCAGAGAUGAGAAGGAGCCGUCCAAAAAGUCCCUCUUUUCCUUCAGGCAGCUCAAGCUGUACCACUUGCAACCAAGACUCCCGAGCAGCAGGGCCAGAUACUCUUCAGGAAAGACAGCCAACAACACCUAUUUUGUGGAUGUUAAACCCAGUACAACUUCAAGGUAGCAAGGGCAAUAGAACCUGACUUAGCAUCUCCGUUUUCCUGCAGAAGCUUUAGCUCCCUCUUCUUCUCACGGUUUAGGAAACAUGUAAGAGUUUGGAAAAAAAAAAAAAGUCAAAGUUUUAGCACACCACCACUGCUCAGCCCAGUUUACCACACAGAAAUGCCAUCUGCUGAGCAGUCUUCAAAGCAGGUGAAGGCUGACCACACGGCCCUCCUCUCCGUUUUGUUUCCCUAUCUUUCUGUCUCUGCUUCAUGUCUCAUAAAACUUUUAUGUCUGAAUGUUUAAAAAGUGAUUUAUGUACAAUCCGCUGUAAGCAUUUAGCUUGAGUAUCAAAUUCAUUUGUCUGCUGAUAGAUAAAAGAACAAAACCGUCUUCUGUCUCGAGCAAGGCAAAACUGUAAAGUGAGGCAAAUAGCGGUAUACCUAAGAACCAAACUUUUUUUUUUUUUAACUUGGCCGAUCCUCCCUGCUGUGUGCAUCUAAUGUUUUGCCUCUGAGAAUAGAACUUAUUAGCAGCCCUAAAGUAAAAAAAAGAAAAGAAAAAAAAAAAAGACAGGAUAUUUUCAACAAGGGCCUCCGCUUUGCCAAACAUCCCAGAGUUUGUCUCCAAGGACUU